AUAUAUAAAUUAAUGGAAAUAUACAGAAAAAUAUUAAAUAUAAUGUAGGAAUUAUUUAAGAUUCUACAAACUGAGGUGACCAAUUAUUUUUACUGACCAGUCAGUUAUAAACUUACAACGAUUCUAGAAAGCUGUCAAAAAUCACAAAACUUAAAGCAUCAAAUUCUUACAUGUG